rnacentral:rRNA from 1 species
UGCGUAGGCGGACCAGUAAGUCAGUGGUGAAAUCUUUCGGCUCAACCGAGAAACUGCCAUUGAUACUGUUGGUCUUGAGUUCGGCAGAGGUAGGCGGAAUGUGUAAUGUAGCGGUGAAAUGCUUAGAUAUUACACAGAACACCAAUUGCGUAGGCAGCUUACUAUACCGACACUGACGCUGAGGCACGAAAGCGUGGGGAGCGAACAGGAUUAGAUACCCUGGUAGUCC